GUUUCAGUUUCAUUGACCUGAGGCAGUGUCUAGAAAACAAAAUGGUGGUUUCACCCCCUGUUUAUCUGAAAAUCUCAUAAAUUGGAGUACUUGAUGGCAAAGAAUGAACACAGCCCUAGAGGAAUAGAGAUACUGCUGUGCAUGCUACAGUUAGCUGGCUGGCUGACCACGUGUAACUUCAGCCUAAUAUCUGAUUUUCCUAAUAUCUGUAGCUCAGCAUGAGGCCUUUUCAGGAUUUCUGAACAGAAAAAUCAAUCCAGCAACCAGAAGGAAAAUCUAAAGGUCGGGAACGAGACUAGAAGGAGGGACCCCCAAGGAAGAGAACACCUUUUGCGUAUCCCUUGUUCACUAUAUCUUGAACAUCCUUUUUUCUUAUGAAACAAAAAAUUUGCCAGUCAUGUAACUCCUGGUGUUCAUACUAAAUUCUCUGUUAACUUGACCUUGACAUAGCCCAUUAUGUAAGUUAACACACUCUGCAUGGAGGAGGAGCGAGGGGGAAGCUCACUGCCCUUCCCUUCCCCUGGCCUGGCCCUCACAUCCUCUGCACCAGUGAGGGGGAGGAUUAGCUGGCAUAGUGAGCCUCGCCCCUCCAAAUGCCCCACCUAGAAAUGUGGCUGCCCCAGUUAACAAGGACGGCUGGCCAUGGGUCUCCUUCCACUGCUGGCCUGGAGCUGGUCUUCCUGGGGCGAGUGUUGUCAUGUGCGAUAACAGCGGCAUCUCUGGCCCUUGAAGCUCCCCCUCCCACUGCUGCUUCUCCAGUGCUGCCAAUGGCCACUGACUGGACAGCCAUAAAAGCAUCAUAGCCCUGUUAUAAUAAUAAGCCCUGACAGAAUGGAGCUGUGGGUUCGCAUGCAGUCCUAACCUAAGCUUGUCACUGCAGAAAUAAAUCUGGGGGGCUCAACCCUCCGGGGGUGGCCUCUUGCCUUGGCCGGGCAGUGCCUUCCCAGCUGGCCAGGUCCUGUACCAUUGGCUGAGCGGCUGCAAGGUGAAUCCCCUUUGUAUGUAUGGGCAGGGUGUCUGCCCGUCCUAGAAGGGGGCUCUCUGGUCCCCAUGCCUCUCCCAUCUUGCAUUAUUACGCCUGUCCCAUCCAGGCCAUUUGUUCUAACUAACAAAGGGUGCGCAUCAGGUGAAGACAAGGCCACUGUGAUGGGCAGGAGAGAGAGCCAGAAGCUGAAGGCCUGCCCUGUUGCAGAGGCAGAGCGCAUUUGAUUGCACCUCACCAAUUCAGGAAGACUGAUUUGCAUUUCACCGAGGGCUGUAAAUCAUCUCAGUAAGCCAUGAUGGCAGUAGGACCAGCACCAGGAACUUUAUUUAUUGUCUGUAACUUUCGUUUUGCUCUGUGUGUAUGUAUUUAAGGCUAGAUUAUUUAUUUUGUAAUAUUGAAUUUAUUCAAUCUUUGCUGAAUUGGUGAUUUUUGUCCUAUCAGAAUUUCUUGUUUUGUAAACCAAUUUCAGCGUGCGCACACACACUCAUGCCCCAAUGUUCUGUAUUUUAAUAGUAAGUGGAGAUUUGCUGUCAGACUCCUUGAGCACGGCUGUCUGUGGUGACAUAAA